GGCGAACGCUGGCGGCGUGCUUAACACAUGCAAGUCGAACGGAAAGGCCCUGCUUUUGUGGGGAGCUCGAGUGGCGAACGGGUGAGUAACACGUGAGUAACCUGCCCUUGACUUUGGGAUAACUUCAGGAAACUGGGGCUAAUACCGGAUAGGAGCUCCUGCUGCAUGGUGGGGGUUGGAAAGUUUCGGCGGUUGGGGAUGGACUCGCGGCUUAUCAGCUUGUUGGUGGGGUAGUGGCUUACCAAGGCUUUGACGGGUAGCCGGCCUGAGAGGGUGACCGGCCACAUUGGGACUGAGAUACGGCCCAGACUCCUACGGGAGGCAGCAGUGGGGAAUAUUGCACAAUGGGCGGAAGCCUGAUGCAGCAACGCCGCGUGCGGGAUGACGGCCUUCGGGUUGUAAACCGCUUUCGCCUGUGACGAAGCGUGAGUGACGGUAAUGGGUAAAGAAGCACCGGCUAACUACGUG
rnacentral:rRNA from 1 species